rnacentral:rRNA from 1 species
GAUGAUCGCUGGCGGCGUGCCUAAUACAUGCAAGUCGAGCGAACAGACGAGGAGCUUACUCCUCUGACGUUAGCGGCGGACGGGUGAGUAACACGUGGAUAACCUACCUAUAAGACUGGGAUAACUUCGGGAAACCGGAGCUAAUACCGGAUAAUAUAUUGAACCGCAUGGUUCAAUAGUGAAAGACGGUUUUGCUGUCACUUAUAGAUGGAUCCGCGCCGCAUUAGCUAGUUGGUAAGGUAACGGCUUACCAAGGCAACGAUGCGUAGCCGACCUGAGAGGGUGAUCGGCCACACUGGAACUGAGACACGGUCCAGACUCCUACGGGAGGCAGCAGUAGGGAAUCUUCCGCAAUGGGCGAAAGCCUGACGGAGCAACGCCGCGUGAGUGAUGAAGGUCUUCGGAUCGUAAAACUCUGUUAUUAGGGAAGAACAAAUGUGUAAGUAACUAUGCACGUCUUGACGGUACCUAAUCAGAAAGCCACGGCUAACUACGUG